GCUGACAAAUAAAAAUAAGCGGAAAAUAUCAAAACAACAAUAAGCGAACAAUAACCAAAACACAGACAUACAUAUGAAUCACCUACGAAAAUUCCAUUGAAGACAACAUCGGACGCCACAUCAACACUGGUACGGAGUAAAACACUGAAAAACAUAUAGGGCUUUAACGUAUGCAGUUUCACUGACAACAAGUUGAAAUCAGAAAUGAAUUAUUCUGAUGGUGAACAAAGCAUUUAUAAUUUUCUUUAUAGUGACAUCUUGUAAAAUAUGAUUUAUAAUUAAAGGUGGUUUUUGAAUCGA